rnacentral:misc_RNA from 1 species
UCUCCGUAGGUGAACCUGCGGAGGGAUCAUUACAGAGUUCAUGCCCUACCGGGUAGAUCUCCCACCCUAUGUUAUUAUUACUUUGUUGCUUUGGCGGGCCGUUAGGCUCCGGCCCGACUACCGGCCCCGGCUGGUAAGCGCCCGCCAGAGGACCCAAAACCCUGAAUAUUAGUGUCCUAUGAGUACUAUAUAAUAGUUAAAACUUUCAACAACGGAUCUCUUGGUUCUG